rnacentral:rRNA from 1 species
AACGAACGCUGGCGGCAGGCUUAACACAUGCAAGUCGAACGCCCCGCAAGGGGAGUGGCGCACGGGUGAGUAACGCGUGGAUAUCUGCCUUUUGGUUCGGAAUAACCCCGGGAAACUGGGGCUAAUACCGGAUGGUUCCUACGGGAUAAAGAUUUAUCGCCAAAAGAUGAGUCCGCGUCCGAUUAGCUAGUUGGUGAGGUAACAGCUCACCAAGGCGACGAUCGGUAGCUGGUCUGAGAGGACGGUCAGCCACACUGGGACUGAGACACGGCCCAGACUCCUACGGGAGGCAGCAGUGGGGAAUAUUGGACAAUGGGGGCAACCCUGAUCCAGCCAUGCCGCGUGAGUGACGAAGGCCUUCGGGUUGUAAAGCUCUUUUGGCGGGGACGAUGAUGACGGUACCCGCAGAAUAAGCCCCGGCUAACUUCGUGCCAGCCGCCGCGGUAA